UACGGAGGGUGCAAGCGUUAUCCGGAAUCAUUGGGUUUAAAGGGUCCGUAGGCGGGGCGAUAAGUCAGUGGUGAAAUGCAGGGGCUCAACUCCGGCACUGCCAUUGAUACUGUUGUCCUUGAGUUGUCGUGAAGUGACUAGAAUAUGUAGUGUAGCGGUGAAAUGCUUAGAUAUUACAUAGAAUACCGAUUGCGAAGGCAGGUCACUAACGGCAUACUGACGCUGAUGGACGAAAGCGUGGGUAGCGAACAGG
rnacentral:rRNA from 1 species